rnacentral:rRNA from 1 species
AGAUGGCGACCGGCGCACGGGUGAGUAACACUAUCCAACCUGCCGAUAACUCGGGGAUAGCCUUUCGAAAGAAAGAUUAAUACCCGAUGGUAUAAUCAGACCGCAUGGUCUUGUUAUUAAAGAAUUUCGGUUAUCGAUGGGAUGCGUUCCAUUAGGCAGUUGGUGAGGUAACGGCUCACCAAACCUUCGAUGGAUAGGGGUUCUGAGAGGAAGGUCCCCCACAUUGGAACUGAGACACGGUCCAA